rnacentral:rRNA from 1 species
ACUUUCAACAACGGAUCUCUUGGUUCUGGCAUCGAUGAAGAACGCAGCAAAAUGCGAUAAGUAAUGUGAAUUGCAGAAUUCAGUGAAUCAUCGAAUCUUUGAACGCACAUUGCGCCCGCCAGUAUUCUGGCGGGCAUGCCUGUUCGAGCGUCAUUUCAACCCUCAAGCUCAGCUCGGUGUUGGGACUCGCGGUAACCCGCGUUCCCCA